AAAAAAAAAAAAAAAAAAGGAAAAAAAAUGAUUUGGAAGCAGGGUGCAGAUGGUAGACUGCAAGUCUGUGUCCUCUGAUGUAGGUCACAUGCCCCUGUCAGCAGACAUCCAGCACUGGCACCUGUGUGGCAUCAGUCCUGCUUACGGUAUUUUGUCCCUUUCAUUCAGUGCAAGGAGCCUUUCAUUGUGGGAGAGUGACCAGCCAGAUAAGCAAUGGAGCAGGAGCCAGGCCCAGGGACCCUCCACAGUGUCCCCAUGGUUGCUGGGAUGGGCAAGCAGGCUCAACUUGUUCUUUCCCCCUUGCCUUCUCCUGAGGGACACACUGCAUGGCAGGUCAGGGGUCGCUCUGACUCUUUGCUUCUCUGUGUUCCUGUUACUAGUGGACAUUCCAAGGUGGUGAAAGGAUAUGUGAAAGGACUGGUUCACUGGAUGUCUUUAUCUGAAAAGGGGAAACAAUAGACAUAUUAGUCCGCUGCUCUGCAAAGGUACUGACUGCCUA
rnacentral:lncRNA from 10 species